rnacentral:rRNA from 1 species
UGAAAAUGGAUGGCGCUGUAGCGUCGUGCCUAUACUCGGCCGUCAACGGCACAGUGGGCGGCACCUUCGCCGGUGCCGGGCCGUUAUGCCUUGACGAGUAGGAGGGUCGCGGCGAUGAGCGCAGAAGGGUCUGGGCGUGAGCCUGCCUGGAGCCGUCGUCGGCGCAGAUCUUGGUGGUAGUAGCAAAUACUCCAGCGAGGACCUGGAGGACUGACGUGGAGAAGGGUUUCUUGUGAACAGCUGUUGCACAAGAGUCAGUCGAUCCUAAGCCCUAGGAGAAAUCCUAUGUCGAUGGGUGGCCGUUGAAAUUGACGGCGCAGCUACCAAGCGCGCUCGAUACGUAGAAGGCGACCCACGGGGCGAAAGGGAAUCCGGUUCCUAUUCCGGAACCCGGCUGCGGUACCGUUCAUAAGCGGGCCCUCGUCCGAGAGCUCGACGGGGCAACCCGAAGAGACCCGGAGACGCCGGCGGGAGGUCCGGAGAGAGUUUUCUUUUCUCUAUAAGCGUUCGAGUUCCCUGGAAGCCUAUAGCAGGGAGAUAGGGUUUGGAACGCGAAGAGCACCGCAGUUGCGGCGGUGUCCGGAUCUUCCCCUCGGACCUUGAAAAUCCGGGAGAGGGCUACGCGGAAUGUCCGCGCCGGAUCGUACCCAUAUCCGCAGCAGGUCUCCAAGGUUAAGAGCCUCUAGUCGAUAGAAUAAUGUAGGUAAGGGAAGUCGGCAAACUUGAUCCGUAACUUCGGAAAAAGGAUUGGCUCUGAGGAUCGGGGCGUGUCGGGCUUGGUCGGGAAGCGGGUUUGUGCCAACGUGCCGGGCCUGGGCGAGGUGAAUGGGGCUUGCUCCUGGAUCUGAGCUCGGUCCCGUGCCUUGGCCUCCCGCGGAUCUUCCUUGCUGCGAGGUGUUUACUGUCUGUCGCGGUUCUUCCACUGUCAAAAGUGGUCCCGAAGGACGGGUUUCCUACCUCUUCGGCCGCCAUUCAACGAUCAACUCAGAACUGGCACGGACCGGGGGAAUCCGACUGUCUAAUUAAAACAAAGCAUUGCGAUGGCCCCAGAGGGUGCUGACGCAAUGUGAUUUCUGCCCAGUGCUCUGAAUGUCAACGUGAAGAAAUUCAAAAAAGCGCGGGUAAACGGCGGGAGUAACUAUGACUCUCUUAAGGUAGCCAAAUGCCUCGUCAUCUAAUUAGUGACGCGCAUGAAUGGAUUAACGAGAUUCCCGCUGUCCCUAUCUACUAUCUAGCGAAACCACUGCCAAGGGAA